UAGCUUAGUUGGUCAGAGCAUUGGUGCGUAAAGCUAAAGGUCCCGGGUUCGAUCCCCGG
rnacentral:tRNA from 1 species